AUUGAACGCUGGCGGCAUGCCUUACACAUGCAAGUCGAACGGCAGCACGGGUGCUUGCACCUGGUGGCGAGUGGCGAACGGGUGAGUAAUACAUCGGAACGUACCUUAUCGUGGGGGAUAACGCAGCGAAAGCUGUGCUAAUACCGCAUACGCCCUGAGGGGGAAAGCGGGGGAUCGCAAGACCUCGCGCGAUUAGAGCGGCCGAUGCCUGAUUAGCUUGUUGGUGGGGUAAAAGCCCACCAAGGGGACGGUCAGUAGCUGGUCUGAGAGGACGAUCAGCCACCCUGGGAAUGGGACACGGGGCAGACUCCUACGGGAGGCAGCAGUGGGGAAUUUUGGACAAGGGGGGCAACCCUGAUCCAGCAAUGCCGCGUGAGUGAAGAAGGCCUUCGGGUUGUAAAGCUCUUUUGUCAGGGAAGAAACACCGGCUCUAACACAGUCCGGGAAUGACGGUACCUGAAGAAUAAGCACCGGCUAACUACGUGCCAGCAGCCGCCGUAA
rnacentral:rRNA from 1 species